rnacentral:piRNA from 1 species
UCCACACAGUGCGGCACGAGCCUCUCC